UUAUGCAGUGAGGGUGCCUUGAACAGCUCAAAAACAGCAUCUACACCAGAAAAACAACGUGAGAGGAUAGCACAAUGGCUAAGAACUUUGUCAGGAAGACAAACAAGAGCCAGACUUCUCCAGAUGUAAAGCUCAGAGCAGUCAGAGAGGUGAAAAUAAAUAAUAUUGUUAUAUAAGGACAAAAAACUUUUAGGAAAGAUUUGUUUCUGUUUCUGUUCUCUUGGUGCAGGAUGUGUGUUAGGUUGUUGUAUUUCAAUUAAACUAAUCAUUUUAAAUAUUUUUUAAGACUAUGUCUACAUUUCGUAUUUUUCUCCAUUACAAUAACACAGGGACUACCAACCCACAAUGGAUGGUUGUCACAAGUGCAUAGGACAUAUUAGAGGGCCCAUAUCUUUUUAACAGAAUCAGCUGAAGAAGAGUAAGACCACUCUAUUUCUACCUGACACUUUAGGCUUCCAUUACAAAUUAAAACGGAAUUUAUUCAGUAUACGGUUUAUGAGGAAUUAAAAGUAAAGUAAAAAGUGUGACUACCAACCCCUUUCUCCCCUACACCCCAUUGACUGUGUGAAAGAUGGAUGUGAUGAUGACAGUUCCCCAAAAGUGAAGCCAAAACAUCCCGCUCGCCCCCUGGUGGCUGGCUGUAGUACAGGUCAGAGGUCAUUUGUCAUUUGCCCGCAAUGAAUGUGUCUGAUUUUUCUCUCUUUUCAUUAUCAACAGUGAUACAAGACAUGAUGCAGUAUUCAGAUCAAAGAUCAAUAAAAUUCUGUUCCCUUAGAAGGUGGACGGAUACAGAGACAGAAAGUUUUGAUAGCACUAAACCGGAUUGUGGCUACUCCAGCAACAGCUCUAGUCAAAGGUUUGUUUACACAGUCUGUGAUCUCAGUAGAAAAUGGCAGAAUGUGAAUUACAGGGAGACGACCCAGCUGGUUCAUCUUUGCUAAUGGAUAUACUGUAACAGCAUGUCACUGUGCUAAGCUAGACUAAACACCUGACCAGUUGUUUUCAUUAUUGAAAAUAAAUUAUGCCUGAAAUACAAAACAAUAUCAUACUAGUCAACAUGGCUGCAGGUAUUAGCAUCACAGUCUCACUCCUAACUGAAGAGAAGAAUAUGGGUUUUGGUUUAGGUGCUCCUUGAAAGUUCAGGAAUCUUGUCUGACAUAUGAUGCAGCCAUAACAGCUCAUUACAUGUUAAAAAAAAAAAAAUCUCUCACAAAUGAGGCACAAUGCAUAAAAAGGUAGCUCCCAACCUGAAGCUGCACAUCUGAUACAGCAGUACUUGGAUUUUACUAUGCAUGUCUUUUUUUAAAGGGGAAAUUUUCUUCAUUUAUAAUAUUCAUUACAUCACACUUCAUUUUUAGUCAUUUAUUUCUUGCUGUUUUACAAAGUUACAUAUAAUAUAGCGUAUUUUAAUGUUUUUAAAUGUCUUUGAUCAGAUAUCUGAUGAUUGGAGAUGAAUUUCCAAUAAAGUUGUUUGAUUUUGAUUUAAGGGGAAGUCUAAGCAAAUCAGCACACCAAAGUUAUAUCACGCAAAGCAAUAUAUAGUGGGGUCAUUAACAAUGAAUAAUAAUAAGUCUGCUUAAAAACAGUGAUAUAAUUUCUGAUGAGUAAACUGAAAAUGCUGCCUAAACUGAUAUUGUGUGAUAUUAGUACUAUUAGUUUGUCAUCACGUAGAUUGUUGCAGACUAUUAAAGACUGCGUUGAGAGCAUGCAAGUAAAUGAUUAGUUAAAUGAUUCAUUACCAUAUUUUAAAGAAAAAGGAAACCAUUGAGGAUGCUCAAUGGUUUGUCGGGCAUAUAUUAAUCUUGUUUUUCUCUUUAAAGUGAUAGUGAC